rnacentral:lncRNA from 1 species
CAACAACUGUGAUUUAUGGAUUUCUUUUCUUUCAAGACUAUGCUAGACCCGCAAUACAGAUUACUAUCAAAGAAGCAAGGGUAAAAAGAGGAAUGUAUGCGGAGACGAAGCCACAUGCACGGUUGGUUAUGGGAAUAGUCUAGAAGUAGAAUGACCUAUAAAUAAGGGAAUGGAAUUGCAGUAGGGCAAGAGCAGUGGACCUCUCGAUCAUCCAUUCCUAUCUUGUUAUUUCUUUUUCUUUUCAUCGUCUUUUGUUAUUUGAAAUCAGAAAUCCUAUAGCAGUCCUAUUUCGUGUAAUCAAAGUGUAGUAAUGAAGAAUUGAGAUUCUGCUAAACUUCAAUUACUCUAUAAACUUUUUUGGUGAAGUGAGAUUAUUUCAAAACUUUAUCAUUGGUAUCAGAGCAAAUCAAUCAUGAUGGUAAAUUUAGCAGAUCGAGUGGGAAGUUUAGAAGGGACUCAACAAAAACUACAGGAGCGAUUUGAAGGAAUGCAAAUAGGAAUGGAAAUGAUACAGGCUGAGUUGCAAAGGGUACAGAACAUGGAAAAAAAAAUAUGGCUUUUAUUUCAGAGCAAUUCACCUUCAUAAGGAACAAAUGGGAGGAGGCAGAACGAGACAGAAAGGCAAGGGACAAGUGGGAACGAAGGACUCGGAAUAUGCUGUGCAAUCUGAGUAUUCUCUGAGCAUGGAGACGAACGGCAAAGAAACGGGCAGACCGACCGGCGAGAACUGGAGAACAGAAUUCAGAGGGAGGAGGUUGGAGAUGCCGGUGUUCAUGGGUAAAAAUCCAGAUAAUUGGAUCUUCAGGUUCUAGUCCAAGUGCCCUAUCUGUAUUACUGGUCUAACAGACUAUUUUUCAUCAACUAAAGUUGUGCUGGAAUAGGAUAAGCCCUAUUUGCAAACUAUCCUAAUACCAAUUUUAUAUUCUAGUCCAAAUGCCCUAUUUUGGAUGAUUAUGAUUUGUUAUUAAAGUAUUAUCCAAAUACUAAAACUCAAUUUUAUCCAAUUUAUAUUGAAAAGUGGUGGCUAAUUGAUUAUUGAUAAUGAAUACAAUUCUUUUAUUUAAUCCAAACUUAGUUUGAUUAUGAUAAACUUCAAAACUAAUUCUUCAUUAAUUAGGAUUCAUCAACUAGUCACACUAUAAAUAAGGCAUUAGAUUAGUCAAUUUUCACAUCUAAUUGUCGCCAACAAAAAGGUCCCAAAUUAUUACUGGAAAAUGAGAAGCCUUUCAUCCAUUAGAAAUUAUUUAAAAGCAUUACACGCACCAUUAUCUAGAACUUGCAAUCGUAUUUUUGAAUCUAUCGAGGUAAGAUACCUUGUGCAAGUGUUUCCAUUUUUUUAUACUUUUAUAUUCAAUUAAAUACGCAUGGAUUACCAAUGGACCUUGGGUUCUUUAAAAAGAGAGAAGAAAUCCUAAGGGAUUAUAAGAGGACCUAAGAUGUGUGUGUCGUUUGGUCACCAAUAUACUCCAUAAGAGCAAAGUGGAAUGAAGUGUAGAUUUUAUUUGUUAUAUAAUAAUGUAUGAAAACUGCACGUAUCUUACUGGGUGUUUUCAAAUACUCACUCUCAUAUUUUUUUUUCAGUUUAGUCCGG